CUACGGGAGGCAGCAGUGGGGAAUAUUGGACAAUGGGCGCAAGCCUGAUCCAGCCAUGCCGCGUGUGUGAAGAAGGCCUUCGGGUUGUAAAGCACUUUAAGUUGGGAGGAAGGUUUGAUGGUUAAUACCCAUCAGAAUUGACGUUACCAACAGAAUAAGCACCGGCUAAUUCCGUGCCAGCAGCCGCGGUAAUACGGAAGGUGCGAGCGUUAAUCGGAAUUACUGGGCGUAAAGCGCACGUAGGUGGCGACUUAAGUCGGAUGUGAAAGCCCUGGGCUCAACCUGGGAAUUGCAUCCGAUACUGGGUGGCUAGAGUACGGUAGAGGGAGGUGGAAUUCCAGGUGUAGCGGUGAAAUGCGUAGAGAUCUGGAGGAACACCGGUGGCGAAGGCGGCCUCCUGGACUGAUACUGACGCUGAGGUGCGAAAGCGUGGGGAGCAAACAGGAUUAGAAACCCCAGUAGUCC
rnacentral:rRNA from 1 species